rnacentral:rRNA from 1 species
CGGCGUGCUAACCAUGCAGUCGAACGAUGAAGCCCAGCUUGCUGGGUGGAUUAGUGGCGAACGGGUGAGUAACACGUGAGUAACCUGCCCUUGACUUCGGGAUAACUCCGGGAAACCGGGGCUAAUACUGGAUAUGAGCCGUCCUCGCAUGGGGGUGGUUGGAAAGUUUUUCGGUCAGGGAUGGGCUCGCGGCCUAUCAGCUUGUUGGUGGGGUGAUGGCCUACCAAGGCGACGACGGGUAGCCGGCCUGAGAGGGCGACCGGCCACACUGGGACUGAGACACGGCCCAGACUCCUACGGGAGGCAGCAGUGGGGAAUAUUGCACAAUGGGCGCAAGCCUGAUGCAGCGACGCCGCGUGAGGGAUGAAGGCCUUCGGGUUGUAAACCUCUUUCAGCAGGGAAGAAGCGCAAGUGACGGUACCUGCAGAAGAAGCGCCGGCUAACUACGUGCCAGCAGCCGCGGUAAUACGUAGGGCGCAAGCGUUGUCCGGAAUUAUUGGGCGUAAAGAGCUCGUAGGCGGUUUGUCGCGUCUGGUGUGAAAACUCGAGGCUCAACCUCGAGCUUGCAUCGGGUACGGGCAGACUAGAGUGCGGUAGGGGAGACUGGAAUUCCUGGUGUAGCGGUGGAAUGCGCAGAUAUCAGGAGGAACACCGAUG